rnacentral:rRNA from 10 species
UAAAACUUUCAACAACGGAUCUCUUGGUUCUGGCAUCGAUGAAGAACGCAGCGAAAUGCGAUAAGUAAUGUGAAUUGCAGAAUUCAGUGAAUCAUCGAAUCUUUGAACGCACAUUGCGCCCGUCAGUAUUCUGGCGGGCAUGCCUGUUCGAGCGUCAU